rnacentral:lncRNA from 10 species
GUUGAAAAGAGUUGAUGAACCUAAGUGAAGGGGAUCAGUGACAGUCCCUUCGGGAAUACUGUUUUUACAGGAUGGGUAGAGGAAGAGGUAAUGACAAAGGAUGUUGAGAAGAGCAGUGAGAAAGGCAGGACAUAUGAUGGAAUCCCAGCCUCAGUGAGGGAGACAAGACUGUGGGAGACAAGAGAGUGGGCCGUGGGAAUCAAAGGAAGAGCAGUUUCAGGAGAAGGAGAGUCAAAGUACACCCUGGGAGGCUAAAUGAGCUAAGGUCAAGAAGGAAAAACUAUUCACUGAACACAGCAACCAGGAUGUUGGUGGCCUUGCUGAAAGCACAGGGCAGCCAGGCUGAAGUGAAUGGGUGUCAGUGAGGGGUGAGAAAGGUCAGUGCAGGUGCCUCUAACAAGAAGGUGGGCUUAAAGUGGGAGGGAGCAAUAGGGCAGUAGCUAGAUAGAGAUGUAGGUACAAGGGAGAGCUUUCCUUGAAAAUGAAAGCAACAAGAAGGGAAAAGAGACAGCCAAGAGGCUGAGGUUGAUUUCUGGGAGAGGAGGUAAUUGAGGGAGUGAGAUGGUGGGGAACAAAGAUAGGGAAGGCCUGCAAGACAGGUGGAGAGAUUAACCUGAGAAAGUGGGCAGGGGCAGAAGGAUGACAAGCACAGAUGGGGCCACACAUGAUUGAUAAUUAGGGGGCCAGAAAACCAAGGGAUUGCCUCCUAAUUCGUUGCACAAUGUGGGGAUGAAGAUAUCAGACAAAUAUGAGAUGGUAAAUGGAAGGAUU